GCUGAGGAGUCCCAUAAUAGAACGAAACGGCCGUCC
rnacentral:hammerhead_ribozyme from 1 species